ensembl:lncRNA
CUUUGGUGAUUUGGUUUCAAGAUAUGAAGGGGGGGAUGAGAGGAGAUCAACAUUUAGACCCUAACAAAUGGGAAAAGGGAAAAAAUCCCUUUUAAAAAACUAGACAUGCCAGAUGUCGUGAUGCAUCCCUGCAAUUCCAUCAUGCUGGGAGGCAGAAACAGGAGGAUGCUGGAGCCUAGGACAGUCACCCUUCUACAGAGCGGGUGCCUCCUGCCAUUUCCCACUCUUCGGAGCCACCCUGCUGCUUUCCCUGUUGUUUGUCUUCUCAGAAUUAGUCCAUGGGUGAAAUAAUUGUGUAACCAGGUCUCUACAAAGAUCAGAAAAUGACCGACUCAAUAGGGGCUUGCAUUUCAAGAAAAGUGGGAGAAAACACAUUUCUUAGUGGGUGUGAAGCUGCAUAUUUAAUGUGUGAAUAAAAUGUCCCAAGAAUACAGUCUGGCCCGCUGCAGUCAUUUUCGUCAC